rnacentral:lncRNA from 7 species
AGUGAUGUGUGAGGUUACAACGGUGUCAGAACGAACGUCUUACGCAGCAAAUAGCCUGAAGCGAAACUCUGGGUUUGAAUGCAUUCUGAGCAAGGUCAGUUCCAGAUUCAAACUUGGAGGAUUAAGGGUUGUCUAAACCCAUAUCUCGCUGUUUGUUGGAGUCUGGAUCUGGCCCUGAACUUUGCACUUGAUGCUCUUGCCAAUUCGUCAUACCAGGCCUGUAUAUAACAUACACGUAGGUGACUGCAAGUACACCAGCCUUAGGGUGGCCGUGCUUCACUUGAAUAAUCCUGUUGACCUCAGUGGUAGAGAAUCAAAUUGACUGAAUUCCCCUGACGACAAUUCUUUUUCAGCCAGUCUUGUCUGACGCACCAUGCACUACCUAACUCUUAAAAGUCAGGAGAUUCUAAGUCAUAAGAAGCAUGUUGAAACAUGCACAGCUGUUCCUCCCUGCAGAAUAACCUGAAAACAUGCGAGAGAAGCCAGCGUUCAUCUCUGGUGUCAAAUGUUUGCAUUUCCACUGAAAUCAAUGCAGAAACCUGCAAUGCCCAGACACAGACUGAAGCACAAGAAAUGAGAAGGAAACUGAAGGAGCAAAAUGGGAAAAUGAAAGCACACUGCACUAGACUGCACUUUCUUUUCAGGCACACAGCUUGAUAGGUCUCUUUAACUGAGCUGCUGUUAUUAUUUGUUAUGAUGAACAUCAGAGGACCUUUGCUUCUGUUAAUUCCCCUGGGUUUGGUGUUUGCUGACUGCUGUGUUUCACUGUGUGAACUGGGGAAGGAAUGCCCCAUCCAUGCUGGUUUCCAGGUGGCAUCACUUACCCCUUUGCAUUCAUUGCAGACAUAAAUUCCUGUAAUUGGUUGAUUAGAAAGCACCAAUAUUUGUUCUCCUUGAGAUGAUGCUUCCCAGCAAAACAACACACUGAAACAAGUUUGAAGAUUGAAGUCUGUUUAAACAAUUGACAUUUUAAAAACGACUUAAUUCUGGGUUGACAUCCAGCACACCCAGUAAUUGUGAGUGCUUUUAUCACCCAGCUGAUUUUCAGUGUCAGCUCAGGAUUUUCCCAGGAUAAGAUCUCUGAGCACAGAGGACUAAAAGCCAUACUCAGCUCACUCUACCGGUAUGUUAUAUACAGCUUGACACCAAACGGAGCAGACAUGUUUGGCUCUCUUCAUACAUGGUUGGAAAUGGAUCGUUGCCGUGAAGCUCUUACAAAGACUCUUGAAAUAAACAGGAGAAAACAUUGCCU